rnacentral:lncRNA from 1 species
UAUGGAAUGUAUGAUCUUUAUUAAUUUUUAAUCCAUCAAUCUAAAAUCACACAUACUAGAUCAAACAGAAGUACCACAGUAUGCUUUAUUUUGCAGGUAUUAAUUGGUUCUCUAAAUCGAUACAUCCAAAACUUUAGUUAGCAGCAAGCAUCAGUUCUUCCAAAGCAGCUUAGGUGAAAAACAAUUGUUUACAUUCACCAGUUCAAAGUCGUACUGUCUGAUCCACUGUUGUAUUGACAUAAAAUUGAACUCAGUAGGCAAAGCUAAUUGAACACUCAGCUCAUAGAUUUUGAGCUUCCUUUAUCUUAUUGGAGUUGAAGCAGUUUUUAACCCUCUGUUAAUAUUCUCUAUUUUAAUUCUCAAAGAAUUAAACACACAUAUAACCUUUAAAAUGCUGAUGGUCCUG